ACCCAAAGGCGUAAUGAAAGUAAAGAGUGAGUAGAGAAGAAAGAUUAAUAAGAUAAAAAUUUUAUUUUUAACUUUGCUUUAUCUCUCUUUCUCUCUUACUCAAGGGAAGAUAGAAAUCUUAUUUUAGAUAAUAUUUUUAAUAUAAUUUUUUUUUUUUUUUUUAUAAAUUUAUAUUAAGUAAAUUUAAAAUGUAGAUUUCUCGCAUUCCCAGGGCGCUUGUUUCUCGCUUUGCGAGUCUAUGCGCACCUAGAGCGUACACGAUGAUACCCGAAAGAUGGUGAACUAUGCCUGGCCAGGACGAAGCCAGGGGAAACCCUGGUGGAGGUCCGCAGCGAUUCUGACGUGCAAAUCGAUCGUCAGAGCUGGGUAUAGGGGCGAAAGACCAAUCGAACCAUCUAGUAGCUGGUUCCCUCUGAAGUUUCCCUCAGGAUAGCUUGCGCUCGGUUGAGAAGAGUCUCAUCCGGUAGAGCGAAUGAUUAGAGGCAUUGGGGUCGAAACGACCUCAACCUAUUCUCAAACUCCAAAUAGAUGAGACCCCCGGCUUUCU
rnacentral:rRNA from 1 species